rnacentral:rRNA from 1 species
ACCUGAAACCGUGUACGUACAAGCAGUGGGAGCCUCUUAAUGGGGUGACUGCGUACCUUUUGUAUAAUGGGUCAGCGACUUAUAUUCUGUAGCAAGGUUAACCGAAUAGGGGAGCCGAAGGGAAACCGAGUCUUAACUGGGCGUUAAGUUGCAGGGUAUAGACCCGAAACCCGGUGAUCUAGCCAUGGGCAGGUUGAAGGUUGGGUAACACUAACUGGAGGACCGAACCGACUAAUGUUGAAAAAUUAGCGGAUGACUUGUGGCUGGGGGUGAAAGGCCAAUCAAACCGGGAGAUAGCUGGUUCUCCCCGAAAGCUAUUUAGGUAGCGCCUCGUGAAUUCAUCUCCGGGGGUAGAGCACUGUUUCGGCAAGGGGGUCAUCCCGACUUACCAACCCGAUGCAAACUGCGAAUACCGGAGAAUGUUAUCACGGGAGACACACGGCGGGUGCUAACGUCCGUCGUGAAGAGGGAAACAACCCAGACCGCCAGCUAAGGUCCCAAAGUCAUGGUUAAGUGGGAAACGAUGUGGGAAGGCCCAGACAGCCAGGAUGUUGGCUUAGAAGCAGCCAUCAUUUAAAGAAAGCGUAAUAGCUCACUGGUCGAGUCGGCCUGCGCGGAAGAUGUAACGGGGCUAAACCAUGCACCGAAGCUGCGGCAGCGACACUAUGUGUUGUUGGGUAGGGGAGCGUUCUGUAAGCCUGUGAAGGUGGCCUGUGAGGGUUGCUGGAGGUAUCAGAAGUGCGAAUGCUGACAUAAGUAACGAUAAAGCGGGUGAAAAGCCCGCUCGCCGGAAGACCAAGGGUUCCUGUCCAACGUUAAUCGGGGCAGGGUGAGUCGACCCCUAAGGCGAGGCCGAAAGGCGUAGUCGAUGGGAAACAGGUUAAUAUUCCUGUACUUGGUGUUACUGCGAAGGGGGGACGGAGAAGGCUAUGUUGGCCGGGCGACGGUUGUCCCGGUUUAAGCGUGUAGGCUGGUUUUCCAGGCAAAUCCGGAAAAUCAAGGCUGAGGCGUGAUGACGAGGCACUACGGUGCUGAAGCGACAAAUGCCCUGCUUCCAGGAAAAGCCUCUAAGCAUCAGGUAACAUCAAAUCGUACCCCAAACCGACACAGGUGGUCAGGUAGAGAAUACCAAGGCGCUUGAGAGAACUCGGGUGAAGGAACUAGGCAAAAUGGUGCCGUAACUUCGGGAGAAGGCACGCUGAUAUGUAGGUGAAGCGACUUGCUCGUGGAGCUGAAAUCAGUCGAAGAUACCAGCUGGCUGCAACUGUUUAUUAAAAACACAGCACUGUGCAAACACGAAAGUGGACGUAUACGGUGUGACGCCUGCCCGGUGCCGGAAGGUUAAUUGAUGGGGUUAGCGGUAACGCGAAGCUCUUGAUCGAAGCCCCGGUAAACGGCGGCCGUAACUAUAACGGUCCUAAGGUAGCGAAAUUCCUUGUCGGGUAAGUUCCGACCUG